rnacentral:misc_RNA from 1 species
UCUCCGUUGGUGAACCAGCGGAGGGAUCAUUACCGAGUUCUCUACUCGAAACCCUUUGUGAACCAUUAUAACUCGUUGCUUCGGCGGCGCGUCCCCAGGGCGCGCCCGCCGGUGACUUCAGAAUCUCUGUUCGAACCCGACGUUACUUCUGAGUGUUCUUAAGCGAACUAUUAAAACUUUCAACAACGGAUCUCUUGGCUCUA